rnacentral:rRNA from 1 species
UUUGUAUAAUGGGUCAGCGACUUAAUCUGACGAGCAAGCUUAAGCCGGUAGGUGUAGGCGCAGCGAAAGCGAGUCUGAACAGGGCGUUCAGUUCGUCGGAUUAGACCCGAAACCGGGUGAUCUAGCCAUGAGCAGGUUGAAGGUAAGGUAACACUUACUGGAGGACCGAACCGGUGCCUGUUGAAAAAGUCUCGGAUGACUUGUGGCUAGGGGUGAAAGGCCAAUCAAACUCGGAAAUAGCUGGUUCUCCGCGAAAGAUAUUUAGGUAUCGCCUCAGACGAAUACCUCGGGGGGUAGAGCACUGGAUGGGCUAGGGGGUCUCACCGACUUACCAAACCUAACCAAACUCCGAAUACCCGAGAGUACUAUCUGGGAGACAGACGGUGGGUGCUAACGUCCAUCGUCAAAAGGGAAACAACCCUAACCUACAGCUAAGGUCCCCAAGUCAUAGUUAAGUGGGAAAGCAUGUGGGAUUACUCAGACAACCAGGAGGUUGGCUUAGAAGCAGCCAUCCUUUAAAGAAAGCGUAACAGCUCACUGGUCUAAACAAGGGUUCCUGCGCCGAAAAUGUAUCGGGGCUCAAGCCACGAGCCGAAGCUUAAGGUUUGCACUUUGUGCAAGCGGUAGCGGAGCGUUCCAUAAGCCAACGAAGGGAGACCCGUGAGGGCUCCUGGAGGUAUUGGAAGUGCGAAUGCUGACAUGAGUAACGACAAUGCGAGUGAAAAACUCGCACGCCGAAAGACCAAGGUUUCCUGCGCAACGUUAAUCGACGCAGGGUUAGUCGGUCCCUAAGGCGAGGCUGAAAAGCGUAGUCGAUGGAAAACAGGUUAAUAUUCCUGUACUUCCAGUUAUUGCGAUGGAGGGACGGAGAAGGCUAGGCCAGCUUGGCGUUGGUUGUCCAAGUUUAAGGUGGUAGGCUGAGAUCUUAGGCAAAUCCGGGAUCUUAAGGCCGAGAGCUGAUGACGAGUGCUCAUUAGAGCGCGAAGUGGUUGAUGCCAUGCUUCCAAGAAAAGCUCCUAAGCUUCAGAUAACUGGGAACCGUACCCCAAACCGACACAGGUGG